rnacentral:rRNA from 1 species
UACGUAGGGGUGCAAGCGUUUGUCCGGAAUUAUUGGGCGUAAAGAGCUCGUAGGCGGUCUGUCGCGUCGGCUGUGAAAACUCGGGGCUCAACUCCGAGCUUGCAGUCGAUACGGGCAGGCUAGAGUUCGGCAGGGGAGACUGGAAUUCCUGGUGUAGCGGUGAAAUGCGCAGAUAUCAGGAGGAACACCGAUGGCGAAGGCAGGUCUCUGGGCUGACACUGACGCUCAUGCACGAAAGCGUGGGGAGCAAACAGGG